GGUUCAGGACGAACGCUGGCGGCGUGCCUAAUACAUGCAAGUCGAACGGUCUUUCUAUGGAAGCUUGCUUCCACUGAAAAGAUAGUGGCGAACGGGUGAGUAACACGUGGGUAACCUGCCCAUAAGAGGGGGAUAACAUCCGGAAACGAGUGCUAAUACCGCAUAGUUUUCUUGAUCGCAUGAUCGGGAAAGGAAAGACGGCCUUUGUGCUGUCGCUUAUGGAUGGACCCGCGGCGUAUUAGUUAGUUGGUGAGGUAACGGCUCACCAAGACGAUGAUACGUAGCCGACCUGAGAGGGUGAUCGGCCACAUUGGGACUGAGACACGGCCCAAACUCCUACGGGAGGCAGCAGUAGGGAAUCUUCCGCAAUGGACGAAAGUCUGACGGAGCAACGCCGCGUGAGUGAAGAAAGGUUUUCGGAUCGUAAAACUCUGUUGUCAGAGAAGAACAAGUUGGAGAGUAACUGCUCCAGCCUUGACGGUAUCUGACCAGAAAGCCACGGCUAACUACGUGCCAGCAGCCGC
rnacentral:rRNA from 1 species